CAUGUUAAAACAGACAAGAGUUCCCAGGGAAGCUUGCGCCUGUUUUGAUUAUAUCUGAGGUGUCAUGAGUGAGGAUGAGUGAUGUCUCCCUAAAUGAUCUGGUACCUAAGCAGAGGCCCCCAGGAACCACCCCCACUGACUUUCUCUAGAAUGCCAGACAAUGGUCCUCCCUUGACCUCCAGAUUAUCAAGGAAGGUGUCCUGCCAAGACAAACAGAAGUGACUUUGACAUGUCUUCAGGGAUAAAUGUAACUGACUUCUAACAGGAGAGCUGACUCAGAAACCUGUCUCUGUGGAAGUUUAUUCAUAACUACAUCUUCAAGAUAAUCUCCAGGGAUGACUGGAAGAAGAGAAGAAAACUGAGGGGAAAAAAUACUGCCUAGAAGAGAUAUGUCCUCCUCUUCCUCUGAAAGGGCAUGCUUUCAGAGACUUCUUAUGAGUCACACAAAACAAUGAAUCUCAAAUCCACAUAGCCACACCUUGUUCUUGACCCAGAAUGGUACUCCCUGGCUUGUUCAUCCACUCCAUUCACCAAACUCGGCUCCAGUCACUAUAGGCCAUAUCUAAAAACCAAAUCCACACUCCAAGGUCACAUACUGGUCACUCCUGAAAAUAUUCAAAUGAAUGAACCCUGAAAUUUGAAGAAAAUUCUCAAAGAAGAGAGCUAGAA